rnacentral:rRNA from 1 species
UACAGAGGGUGCGAGCGUUGUUCGGAAUUACUGGGCGUAAAGCGUGCGCAGGCGGCUUUGCAAGACAGAUGUGAAAUCCCCGGGCUUAACCUGGGAACUGCAUUUGUGACUGAAUAGCUAGGGUACGGUAGAGGGAAGUGGAAUUUCCGGUGUAGCGGUGAAAUGCGUAGAUAUCGGAAGGAACAUCAGUGGCGAAAGCGACUUCCUGGACCAGUACCGACGUCAGGCACGAAAGCGUGGGGAGCAAACAGG